rnacentral:lncRNA from 1 species
UUUUUUUUUUUUUUUUUUUUUGCCUUCUGUCCUCCUGUAAUAAGAAUAAUACUAUAAUAUGUUUUACUCUCACUUGCGUACUUUUAACACGUAAUAACAAAUUCUUGACAGGGAAUACUGUUGGGUUAAGCUUCAAUUGCUUGUGAAGCCAAGGAUUACAAUUCGAGCAAAGCUAAACAUUCUUAUUGAGGUAUCUCAACUUAAAAAGUCACCAACAUAUACCAUGCAUCACAUUUGAAAUAUAUGGAUACUCAACAUGUUUGUAUCAUUUUGCUUUCAUGACUUCCUUCUUUGACUCAGGGAAACCAUAAUUAAUCAAGAUAAAGAUUCAAGCAUGUGUGUAACACAGCAUCCUGAACAAUAUUUGCACAGAAGCAGACUAGACUUGAUAAUUUCUGGAUUCUGAAUCAUGAGAUUGCAAACAGUUCCAAUUUAAGAAAACUACUCGUUUAAGGCAUUCAUUUCAUUUAAGUACGAGUUUGGAACGCUAUUAAAAACAGCUAAUUAGAAUUCAAGGAAGCCAAAAGGGUUCUUCUGUAAGAUCUUUGAAGAGAGAACUACAUUUGCAUAUUUCCAGUCAGAGUACACUACUCCCUGUACAUGUUUACUGCUUUUGCUGCUCCACCACUAAAAAUCGUGUGGUGAUUCAGUAUAGAAAUCAAAAAGAGUUUUACCAAACUCAGUAAUGCUACUGCUAUCUUUCUACCGUUCAGUUCUUCCCAACUUCUCUGACUAUACCCCUCCGCUGUAACACCCUAAUUCAGUCACGUCUAACUAAUGUCUCGGUUAUCCUAACCUAAAGUAACAUUCUGGCCAUCCUUUUUACAAAAUGCUACAGCUUGAGCCAAGCAAUGCCAAAGCCAGAACCACAGUUACCUUAAUUCUCCUCCAUUACCAAAAUGCACAAACCCAGAAAUGAAAAAAAAAAAAAGGGGAGCCAACAAAGAUAGAACGCCAACACUUCAAACCCUCUCAAUUCCAUUCACUUUUCCAUUAAUUGUUACUUGAAAUCUUCACAUACCCAUUAACAGAAUUAAGCUGCAGGGACUCCUUUUGCUUCAACAUAAGGCGACUGUACACUAUCCUCGUCAGAAUCAUCACUCCCUGAAGAACUACCAGAAUCUGAAUCUGAAUCUACACAUUGUAUCAAACACCAACAUCAGUCUCUGUGGACUAUAUAUGCCAAAAGAAAAACAUAAAUGCAGAAUAGAAUACCAUCAGAAGAAGAAUCAUCACUACUAGAACUUGCGCCACUAGAGCUGCGGGAUCCACCAUUAGCUCCAGCACAGUCCUCAAUCUCAACCUCCAGAACGGAGGCAGCAGCAUUACCCUUCUCAACCUCCACAUCCUUCUCAAUCUCCACAGGGGGAAAGUCAAAUGCUGGAAUGUCCUCUCCAAUAUCAACAUCCUCUUCCCCUGCAUCUUCUUUGUUGUUCUGUUCAACAUCCACCUCACAAGGCUCACUAACUGGAGACUGUUACCAUAACUAAAGAAUUAUCAGCCAAUUAAAACAAGUCAAAAUCUUUAUUAUAUCAAACUUAUGGCAUUUAUUCGUUACCUUGGGUCCUUCUUCGAUCAAAUUGGCACCGUCAACGAGUUCUUGCCUUUUCAUCUUGCUCAGAGCUUUCUUGUGAUUACUCACGAACCUAUCCAAAUCCCAAAGAGUGUCAUCGUCAAGAACCUCAAAAUCAAGUUCAAUCUCAUCUCCGUCCGGCACCAAAUGAGGAUUCCUCUUCCUGACAAUCUGCACCACGCGCUCCAUCUUCUCCUGCGGCAUAUUCUGCAAAUUCAACCCCAAGUUAGACUUCUCCUCAUUGCUCAUUUGCCUCUUGUUCGAAUCCUUGGCUUUUGGGUUUGGCAAUUUCCCGCUUGUACUCUGCAAUCCAGGAGACAACAGAAUCUGCUCAUUCUGACAUGAAGGCGAACUCAACAAUAUCGGUUGUGGCAUCGCAAUCACCGGUUCCAGCUGAACCCAGUUGGUAAUUUCGUUCAUCUUCUCAGCAGCCAGUUUUCGAUGUCCGGUUUCAUACUCCUGAUACACGGGCUCAAACAUUUCUUCAAAACUCCAAAGCAUAGACUCCGCCAUUGCGUGGACAUCUUGCCCUUUGGGGUUAUAUCUCAUGGCAUUGUUAAAAGUCAGCCUUACAUCCGUAGCAAAUUCAAGGGGUGAUUUGUACACCCUUUUGUUGAAAUUAGACUUGAUAGUCCCAAGAUCCAUUGGAUGCUUUAUGACUUUGAAGUAAUCAUGAAGCCUUAGACGAACAACAUCAACGGGCUUAUUAAAAACCCAACUGUGCUUUUGCUUCAUAAGUGUCAUCAAAAUCUGCUUACAUUUCUUCAUCACCGUUUCCGACGCCUUCUCGGCCUCUGAUGAAGUUGGGAUCACAAACGGCCGCUUUGUUUCUCGAGCAUCACCUAAAGCAAGAGCCCUUUUUUGCCCCGAAAGUUUUUGGUUCUUUUUGCCCUUACCCUUUCGGGUCACUGACCCGGAUGCCCGGUUCUUUUGGUUCUGCUUCUCAUCUGAUGUAAGGUUCACUGGUAUGUGAUUUGUUUCUACAGCAGGCGGCCUGAAUAGGGCCCUACAAAAACCGGGUCUAAACUCAAGCUCCCGGGUCUGUAUUCGGGUCAAUAGGGUCCGAACCCGUUCGAGGUCGGAGAUUAGUCGAUUUUUCAGCUCUUUCAGCUCUCUUUUCGAGUACGAUGACGCUUUGAAUGUCACGUACUCUCGGUGAAACGGAUCCUUGGAUAGAAGAGGCCCAUCUGCACUCCGGUUAAAGGAGUGCGGAUCAUUGAUCGACGCCGAAGGUGGCAGGAAAGGAGGCCUGGGUGAUGGUUCAUUGCGCUGCCGGAGACCAGUUUUAGCUGUAAGAUCAAUGAUUUGCCGGCUAACGUUGAAAUUUGAGUUGAAAAUGGGGUUUGGAAACCUGCUAGGGUUAGGAUGAGGUUUAGGAUUCAACCGCGGGUAGAAAUGGGGAUGAUUCGUGCGGUUGUUUGGAAAUUGCCUCAUACAAACCUCGCGUUCAGCCCAAUAGGACUCAUUUCGGCUGGGCAAGACGGCGGAAGCCAUAUGAGGCGGGAGCCAAAAAAAAUAAGCGGAUUGAAUUUCAAAUCAAACGGGUCGCUCAAGAAAUUUCGCCCUGGCGGUCAAUCUCCGACCAAAAAAUGGCGGGAACACAUGGCUAGAAAGCCGGAAAUUUUAACCGCCGCUGGCCGGAAAGUCGAAAGCUAGUAAUUUGUUGGAGGGAAAUGUGUUCAGAAAAUCAAAAUGGAAAGAUAUUUAAACCAAAAAAAAGGCAAAAAAUUAUUAAAAGGCGAGGGUUUCUAUGACCCUCCUUGCUUGAACGAAGAAAGCAGGAGGAGGAUCACCGCUUCUUAAAGGCAGCCAGAUCUGCAGGUCUGCAGAUCGGGCAGAAUCUCAGCCGUUGAAGUUUGAUCUCAAGGCCUGCAUGUUUCUGAUGUUUGCCCGCAUUGCCCGACAGUGCCAGGUGGUGCCAAUGGCUGCGAUUGACCCUGGGGGAGUGCGUGGCGUCAUGUGAUGCGUGGAUGAUGUGUUUGGGUGGGAACUUAAAAUUUCGAAAUAAAUACUCUAGUACCUAUUUGAGUUUGAAGCGGAAGAAAAUUUCCUGGGGGCUGGGGAUGGAAGGAUAUAAGAUCCUGCUGCAUUGACGCCAUGUGGGGUCGUUUGGUGACGUGGAGGGGGCCAACUCUGAUUGGUUCUGCUGACGCCUGGUGAUGUACAACUGUACCAGUCCGGCAAUAUCUAUCUGAUUGUAUUUCAGUAAUCUUAGAUGAGUAAAGUGCUAUUAAGCCGAGUCGAAUUCAAGUUACACUGUGCUUGAAUUCGGUCGCUAUCCGUGUUAAUCGAUUUUAAAUUCGAAUGAGUAUAUUAAUUUGAAUUCGAACUCGAUUUAAUAUAAUAAAAUUUAAAUUUCAAGUCAAUUUAUUUGAGAUUGAGUAAACUGUUGACCCUAUCAAAAUCGAACUCGAGUUUUUCUUUUCUUGUUUUUAAUUUUUUAUAUUUUAGAUUUAUCAUAUAAUUAUUUUGUCAUUUAUCACUUUUUUUUUAUUAAACAUACUUCAUGUAAAAUUAUUAAAAUACAAACCCAUAAUAUUCAUUACAUAAUUAAAAUAUAGAAUAUAUAAAUAACAUAAAUACUCGAAUUAAACUCAUCGAACACUCAAAUAAUUACUAUUGAUACUCAAACUCGACUCGUUACACGAAAUAAAUAGCUUGAGCUCGAAUUCAGUCAAACUAAUUUCGAGUCAAGCUUUGACCCAGUUACUCGCAAACUACUGAUAAGGGGUUGGCUCACCCCACACCCUUGUGGAUGACUACCAAAGUACUACUCGAUCGAUCGGCAUAACCAAACCUAUAGUGAUCAAUCAUUGAGAAUUUGGGAGUAUUAUAAUGUAGUGUGAUUUAUAGGUGAGAUUAAGCAAUAGGAGUAUAUUAACAUUAGAAAAGUGCUUUUUUGUUUUUCAAGAGAAGAGAAUAAUUUUGCAUAAUUUUAUUUUGCCAAUUAAAUUUAGAAGUGGUGUAAAUUUGACACUUACAAUGCUAAAUCGCUAAAAUUGUUUCUUUUUAUUUGUUUAUUUUCCUUGUGCUUUUUCCGCACCAAAUCCAGAUACUGCAAAGUAGUAAUUCUUUUUUGAAGGACAAAGUGGUAAUUCUAGUUCAACACCUACUGAGCCGUAAGUGUAAAAUCAACAAGGGCUGUGCAGACUGCACUUCCCAUUAAAAAAAAAAAAAAAAAAAAAAAACAACCAAUAACAACAACGCGGGCUGGUUACAUGGGCCGGCGGUAAUUAAAUAUGCAUGCACUUAAGAGAGUGUUGAUCCAUCUUUUGACAUUCAACACGGGCUGGUUGUAAUGGGUUCGGAUUCACAGCUGUGACCCCCAUCAAGUUCAAAGUCACCAUGGGCUAGUUGUGAUAAGAGUUAGAGAGUAGGGUAUUUCAGAUCACAAAGAAGGUGAAGCACCACAAACCCAUAUUAUUUGAAUUUUUUUUCAGAAUAAAUACUCUAUUUUUAUUUGUAACACGACUUAUGUAUGUGAAGUAAAAUAAAUAUAUAUAUAGUUAAACAUAUAAAAAAAAAAACUGAUUUGGUAACAAAAAGAAAUUUCCUGUCAAAACAAAUAUUCCUGGAUUUUUCCAAUUUUUGGUCUCUAUAUUUAGUUUUUGUGCCCAUGAUAUAUCACAUAGUUAAACCUUCUUUAAGUCUGUCCGUGAGAAUUGAUCUUCUUUUUGUCAGGUCAAUUUGAGGAGUCCAUAAAAUUAGCAAAAUCAAGUGUGGAGAACUUUAUCAGGUUGAUCUUAAGUUCAAACGCCUAUCACAUGUUGAUUUGUCAAGUGCUUUGAUUGACCGAAGUUACAUUCUCCUAUCACAUAUGUUAACCAAGUCAACCUACAAGAUAAGAAGCUCCAGGUAAUAACAAUACAGACCACAAACACAAUUAUCAAUUUAAAAUCGACACUUCGUGGAUUUCUCUCGACCAAAGACAUAAUAAUGCUCAAAGCUUACUUCAAGAAUUGUCCAAGUCCUUUUUUGAUAGCACGUUAUACUCGCGGUAAUUAAUUACCAACUUCGAGUGGUGUUGCUGCUGUACAUUUACCUUUUACCGUGUCUAAUUAGGGUGGGAUGUGACCCUUAACAUAGAAAACAAAACAAGGCCUAAAACUUUCUGGCAAUGUACUUGCUUGAUUUAGGAAGGAAGCUCCAAGAUCAAGAUUCAGUGGAAGAAUGACCUGUAAAGCAAGCACAUCUUUACACAUAGAUCGAGCCGUUAAUUGUUUCCAUAAUGCUCGGGGCAUAGUAUACUAGUACAGUGUUUUGCCUCACAAAUCAUGAAUGCGCACGCCCAAAAUUAUGAGGGUUUCAUCUACUGGAUAAUUUCUUUCCUUACUGUUUUGAAUAUGGAGUAUAUAUAGAAUGAGUUAUCAAUUAGCCUGAUCUAGACGUUAUGAUUCUUGUCAUGUUAUUCGCAAUUCAACGGCAGCAGGGACCAGCGGUGCCCAGACAUCACACGCCCGCUGUGCUAGAAGAAAGAGGCAUUUGAAGAAGAACUGCAGCUGAAGAGAGAAAUUUGAUUUGUCUUCUUCUUUUUUGAACAAACAAGAGAUGAGACAGAGCAAAUGUGCCCAUCCGUGCCAAGAAACGUUUUAUCUCAAUUCAAGAAACGUUUAUUGAUUUGUUUUUGGACAACAGGAGAUGUUUGACAUACGUUAAAGAAACCAUUAUUAGUUCACAUAGAUUAAUAUUUAAACGAAAAUUAAAGUUAGAAAAGAUUUGAGGCAAAACCAUAAUCCAUAUCGGGGUACAAAUUUCAGCAGUGUAUUGUUGGUAAGUGGGCUGUCAAUUACGACUAAUCUGGGAUUGUGGUCAGAUAAUGACGACGUUAAUCAGCAGCGCAUGGUCCGACCGUAGCUCGCGGAAAAUUAGAAGGGAAAAAGGAUCCUAACUUUGAACUCUCAAAAGACAAAAAGAAGAAGAAGAAGAAGAAAAAAAGAGAGUGAAGGAAAUGAGAGAUGAUUUAUAAGCAGUCAAAUCCGCUGAAAUUAAAUUAAAAUGGAAUCACCACCAGCCACACAUCCAUCCAACCAUCAACCAUCAACCAUCAACCAUGAUGAUGGACUGAAAGCUGGCUUCAAAGGGUCCAAGACUACACGAGGAUUCCAACCAAACAUCACUUUAGUAAUACCUAGCUAACCCCAAAAAAAAAAACACAACUUGAAAUCAUCAUCCUGCCUGUUU